ACGGGAGGCAGCAGUGAGGAAUAUUGGUCAAUGGGCGGAAGCCUGAACCAGCCAAGUCGCGUGAAGGAUGAAGGUAUUAUGUAUUGUAAACUUCUUUAGCCAGGGGGCAAUAAGGCGUACGCGUACGCCGAUGAGAGUACCUGGAGAAUAAGGAUCGGCUAACUCCGUGCCAGCAGCCGCGGUAAUACGGAGGAUCCGAGCGUUAUCCGGAUUUAUUGGGUUUAAAGGGUGCGCAGGCGGCUUUUUAAGUCAGUGGUUAAAUCGUGACGCUCAACGUCAUCACGCCAUUGAUACUGGAGAGCUUGAUUGCGGUCGAGGUUUGCGGAAUUCGUCGUGUAGCGGUGAAAUGCAUAGAUAUGACGAAGAACUCCGAUUGGGAAGCCAGCUUACUGUAGCGCCACUGACGCUGAUGCUCGAAAGCGUGGGUAUCGAACAGGAUUAGAUACCCUGGUA
rnacentral:rRNA from 1 species